CAAGAAGAGCUGAACUCCAAACUUCUCACACCUGCCAUGCAAGAAAUGUGAAAAGUUCUUCGGAGAGAAGGAAAAUUAUAUAGGUCAGAAACUGAGAUCUACAUAAGGAAAGAAGAGCAUUGGAUAAAGAAGAAAUAAAUAAAGGUAAUAUAAAUUCUUUGUUUUUCAUAUUUUUAUUAGUCUUUAUUUUCAUAUCAUUAAUAUUUUUCUUUUUAAUUAAACUAGUUAGUUUAAUUAAA
rnacentral:lncRNA from 1 species